UACGAAGGGGGCUAGCGUUGCUCGGAAUUACUGGGCGUAAAGCGCACGUAGGCGGAUUGUUAAGUCGGGGGUGAAAUCCUGGAGCUCAACUCCAGAACUGCCUUCGAUACUGGCGAUCUCGAGUUCGGGAGAGGUGAGUGGAACUGCGAGUGUAGAGGUGAAAUUCGUAGAUAUUCGCAAGAACACCAGUGGCGAAGGCGGCCAACUGGUCCGGUUCUGACGCUGAGGCGCGAAAGCGUGGGGAGCAAACAGG
rnacentral:rRNA from 1 species